CGGGUGAGCAACGCGUGGAAAACCUGCCGUAUACUGGGGGAUAACACUUAGAAAUAGGUGCUAAUACCGCAUAAGCGCACAGCUUCGCAUGAAGUGGUGUGAAAAACUCUGGUGGUAUACGAUGGUUCCGCGUCUGAUUAGCUUGUUGGCGGGGUAAUGGCUCACCAAGGCGACGAUCAGUAGCCGGCCUGAGAGGGUGAACGGCCACAUUGGGACUGAGACACGGCCCAAACUCCUACGGAAGGCAGCAG
rnacentral:rRNA from 1 species